rnacentral:rRNA from 1 species
AACGAACGCUGGCGGCAGGCCUAACACAUGCAAGUCGAGCGCACCCUUCGGGGUGAGCGGCGGACGGGUGAGUAACGCGUGGGAACGUGCCCUUCUCUGCGGAAUAGCCUCGGGAAACGGAGAGUAAUACCGCAUACGCCCUUUGGGGGAAAGAUUUAUCGGAGAAGGAUCGGCCCGCGUUGGAUUAGGUAGUUGGUGGGGUAAUGGCCCACCAAGCCGACGAUCCAUAGCUGGUUUGAGAGGAUGAUCAGCCACACUGGGACUGAGACACGGCCCAGACUCCUACGGGAGGCAGCAGUGGGGAAUCUUAGACAAUGGGGGCAACCCUGAUCUAGCCAUGCCGCGUGAGUGAUGAAGGCCUUAGGGUUGUAAAGCUCUUUCAGCUGGGAAGAUAAUGACGGUACCAGCAGAAGAAGCCCCGGCUAACUCCGUG